rnacentral:lncRNA from 1 species
GACAAGAAAAUCAAUAAUAGAUAUUUUUAUUACAAUCAUGUAAUCAAUUCCUCUUUCAGGGUGGACAAAUAUCUUGAUGUGCUAUAUCAACUUGGCCAUGAUUAAAAUUUAUCACAAGAUGUUUUAAUUUUCAGUGAUGCUUGAUAAAAUUUAAGACGUACAACAGGUACGUGACCAAUGAUCUUUCAUACCACAUCAAUAACAAUACGUUUUCUAUAUUCAUUUUAUUUUUUUUUAUUUAUCCACUUCUGGUGGGUUACAAGUAUUCAUCUACUUCUUGAUGGGUUAUCCACUUCUAGUGGGUUAGUGGGUUAAGGUAUCCAUCUACUUUUGGUGCAUUGAAAGUGUCAUGACCUGGUACUCCCCUCGAGCUCGUGACAACCGCCUCGGUACCUCGAUAGACACUCAUUUCUCGAAAUGCCAACCGGGACCCCGCAAGGCUUAAUAUCAGUAUCUCAUUUCCCCCGUGAGUAACCGUUGUCGAAAAUCAUGUUCUAGUAGAUUUUAAGUUGUUUCCAACUCAAAACAAAUAAAAUAAUAAUUUUCAUCUCACAGGGGUAUUUUAGUCAUUUUUCUCUAAAAAUUUCAAAACCGGCUAAAAUGUAAUAUACGAGUACAAAAUAUAUAAUUCAUAAUCAAAAGGUAGUUUUAAAGUCUAAAAUCUUCAUUUAAAACGAAAUUUCAGUUGUUUGGGUAUAAUAAGAAAAUAAAGAAAUAUUAAGUAAAAUAUUCUAUUUCAUCAUAAAACAAUAUUUUUAGAGUUAUACAUAAAUAAUUUUUGUAGCGUAAAAGUUAAAUAAAUUCAUACAUACUGUAAUACAGUAAGCCAAAGUAUUUAAUUUAAUUUACAAUAAUAAGUGGGCCCCCGAAUAAACAAAAGUAAAGAGGACUAUAACCUACAGUUUGAAGAAUGCAAACCCAACAGUAGUCCUCGAUGAGAUCAGCUAUCUACAGUCUAAUCUGAGCUUGAAAUGGAGGGAAAGGAGAGUGGUGAGAUUUUAUAAUCCCAGUGAGUAAACAAACAUCAUUCAAAAGAUCUAAAGUCCGAGUAAAAGGAGACAAUUAAAAUAUUUCAUCUCAAUAUGUAUUUCAUAACAUAAAUAUUCAUUUCAUUUAAAUAUUCAACAUGACUUAUGAGUAUUUUAAAAGCUUGGCUCUUACCAAAAUCAUUCUCGGGGAUACCUUGGCCGAGGCAUCUAAUCGAGUCCUCCAAGGCUGUUAAAAAGUUCGUAUACACGUAAAUAUAUUUUUAGUUUAAAAAGAACACAGCCGUUCCUUGGCAUUAGCAGAGUUCAUCGUCAUGAGGUGGUUCGGCGUGACGUGAACUCUAACCAUACCUCAGAAGAUACCCUAUGCGCCUCUUCAACCGAGGUACAUAUAUAUAUCUGAAUUCUGUACCCCUUUAAUAGGUUGGUCCACAGAACCCGCCCACUGUAGCAAGCUAAACCCACCAUACAAUAAAAUUUUAACAGCAUGACAAGGCUAAUAUGACACUACCCAACCUGCAAGGGUAAAAUAAAAUAAUUCAUACAAUUCAUAAAAUACAGCCCAACCAGUAAUGCCAACACAAUAACAAUAUAACAUAAGCCAUCAAUUUCCAAUCAUAAAUUUGCAACAUACUAGUGGUCUCCAAUUACUCUAUUUUUCAAAUCAUUAUUUUGUUUCAAGACAAUUUAUAAAGUCUUUUCAUUUAAACACAUUUUGUUUACAAAACAUAAAAAUUUACCAUUUGAACUCAU